CGCUAUCACUCCUACGGGAGCAGCAGUGGGGAAUCUUGCGCAAUGGGCGAAAGCCUGACGCAGCCAUGCCGCGUGAAUGAUGAAGGUCUUAGGAUUGUAAAAUUCUUUCACCGGGGACGAUAAUGACGGUACCCCGGAGAAGAAGCCCCGGCUAACUUCGUGCCAGCAGCCGCGGUAAUACGAAGGGGGCUAGCGUUGCUCGGAAUUACUGGGCGUAAAGGGAGCGUAGGCGGACAUUUAAGUCAGGGGUGAAAUCCCGGGGCUCAACCUCGGAAUUGCCUUUGAUACUGGAUGUCUUGAGUGUGAGAGAGGUAUGUGGAACUCCGAGUGUAGAGGUGAAAAUUCGUAGAUAUUCGGAAGAACACCAGUGGCGAAGGCGACAUACUGGCUCAUUACUGACGCUGAGGCUCGAAAGCGUGGGGAGCAAACAGGAUUAGAUACCCUGGUAG
rnacentral:rRNA from 1 species